ensembl:lncRNA
AUAAGUGUGGGGCUGCCCCAUAAGUGGGGGCUGCCCCAUAAGUGUGGGGCUGCCCCCUAAGUGUGGCUCUGCCCCAUAAGUGGGGCCUGCCCCCUAAGUGUGGCUCUGCCCCAUAAUGUGCGUAUGGCCUAUAAGUGGGGGUCAGACCCCUAAGUGUGGGGCUGCCCCAUAAGUGGGGGCCGCCCCAUAAGCGUGGGUCUGACCCAUAAGUGAGGGUGACCCCUAAGUGUGGCUCUGCCCCAUAAGUGAAGAGCUGACCCACAAGUGAGUGUGCGGUCUAUAAGUGGGCUGACCCGUAAGUGUGGCUCUGCCCCAUAAGUGUGGGGCUGCCCCAUAAGUGCUCUCAGUUCUCACCCAUUGCUUCCUGCAGCAGUUCGAUGGCGGCCGCUUUCUGCCCCACGGCGCUGCCCCACGGCGCUGGAGGGAUGGUCUGCCCCAUAGAAACACACUGACCCACAGCUCCGCCCCAUAGAUCCUACAGUUCUGCCCCAUAGAUCCACAGCUCUGCCCCAUAGACCCACAUCUCCACCCCACAGAUCUACAGUUCUGCCCCAUAUAUC